CUAGUUUAGGCUAGUUUUGUUUCCAAAACGAAGUAAAGAUUAAAUAUGGGGGCUAGAAAUGUACUAGCCUCUCCCUCACUACACUCAAAAUUAGAAUCAUUAAUAUGGAGGCCUGGGAUUCUAAACCGAACCGAUUUGUCCGAACUGGGCAAAUCGGUUCGGUUCCUAUUAGUUAAACAAAACCGAUUGGAAUAUAUUUGAAAUUAUUUCGGUUAACCGAGAUUUUCGAUUCAGUUCGCUCGAACCGAACGGUUAACCGAAUAAAUAAAAACACCUGACCUAACCUAAUAACUCUAGCUGACGCCUGACUACUCCUCUUCUUCUUUGAUUUUUCAUUUCUCCUUCUUCUUCUUCAAUUAUUCUUCUCUAAUUCUUCUUCUCCUUAUUUUCUUCUUCUUCUUUGAUUUUUCUUCUCCGAUUCUUAGUCUUCCUCGAUUCAUCUUCUCGUGGAUUAUUAAAAACCUCUCGAUCUUUUGCACUGUGUCGAGGUUGGCGUUGACGGCGUCGAGGGAUUCAAGGAGAGCGGCAUGUGAGUGCAGCGAGUGUGAGAGUUGCCGGGAAGGGCAAAUUCGUCCUCUCGCAUCCUCUGUCGGAUCGGAGAUAGAUGCUUCACGAACGACAGAUCCGCCCUCUUGCAACAGCUUCUUUCUCCAAUGACCUAAGUGCAAAAACCGAGAUAACCGAAAUGCCAAAAUCGAAUAAACCGUAUCCGAACCAAACCGAACCGAAGUAUUAGUCGGUUCGAUUCGGAAUAAGUUUUAUUUUCCGAAUAACCCGAAAAAAACGAGAAACCGAAACCGAAUAAACUGAUCGGCUCAAAGUCACAGCCCUACUAAUAUGGAUCAUAAUGUAUAUGCUUGUACAAAAAAAUUAACAAACGACGAUAACAUUGCAACAGACAAUUCCUAAUUGGUAAAGAUGGUGUAUACACUAGCGGAUUGGUAUUAUAGUAUGCUUUCUCAAUGCAUUUGGAUUGUCUUGAAGAUAUUAGUGGAUUCAACUACAAUUAAAGAGAUUUAUGCCAUCAACGGGUAAAUCUCGAGUGCGAAUCAUAGUGUUCUAUACCCGUAAUUUGUGAAAUGUAGAGUGUGAUCUAUACACUCUACAUAAUCUAAAAAAAAAUCUAGAAAUCAUUUAUGUUCUACGAUUUCAUAUUUCUACGAAAUUUAGAAUACAUAUUAAAUAAUUUAUUCUAUGUUAUACCAAAGUUAUAAAACAUUGUCUAACCUUUAGUUUACGUUCUAAGAUUGUUAAAAAAUGUAUUCUUAUAUUUUAUAUGAUAUUCUACGAAAAUUAGAAAAUAAAUUCUAUGUAAUUUAGAAUUUCUUUUUUUUUAAAAAAAAAGAAACUGAACUGUAUAAUAAAGAAAGUGAUCAAGCUCAUCAACUAAAAAUUUGACCAGAAUUUCAUACAAUAACACGACACACAAGUAACUUCCAACCAACCUUAUUGAAUCCUCGCUUCCUUACUCUUGGAUUUGUCGCUUCGAUUAACAUUAGAUUUGGAUAAGAAAUUGAGGCUGGGAUUUGAAAAAUAAGAGAUUGAGGAUGAGAUUUGAAGAAAAAGAAUAGAUUGAGUCUGCGGGAAAGUUUGACGGUGGAACGAGAGGAAGAAAGAAAGUAAUGUCGAGUUUUCUUUUUUCUCUAACUUUUUUUUAAAUAGAGAAAUCAUCAAAUUGAUUUUAAAAAUUCCAAUCAUUUUGCAUGAUUUAUUUUUGAGAUUGAAAGUAU
rnacentral:lncRNA from 1 species